CAUUCCCAAAUCCCAUCACCCCUUUCCCCCCUCCUUUCAUCCCAUCUCCCAGCCCCGCCUGGCAGGAGCAGAGGGAUCCUGCUCACAACUUUCCCCAACUGCCAGGCAGAAGAAUCCCAGCCUUUUCCAAGGGAGUGUCGGUAAAUCAUCAUUACAUCCGACAACGCAACCAGCACCGCUUAACCCUUUGCUGCUCGCCGGCAGGAAAAACAACAACAGCAGCAGAUUUAACAAUGGGGAGAGUAAAAGCGGGUCCCGGCUGUGCGAGAACGGGGGUGUGCGAGCAGUGGGUUUAUGCAUACACGCGUACACAUGGAUGCGAAGAAGCAAUCGUGUGCCCGUGGGUGCAGCGGACACGCGGGGAACGCGCUACCAGCACCCUCCGCCUCACCCGCGGUUCUCCCGCUUCCCGGAGGACGAGCCCAGUGCAGAUGUGCCUCCCACCACCAGCCCCCCCACACCCCCCCCAAAAGGAUCUCUCCUCUGGGUUUAAGAGAGAAGAGGAAAAGGCAGAUUUGGAGAAAUGAAAAUGAUUUAAGGAUGGCUCCGCGGCCUCUCUCUGCUGCCCUCCUCUGUAGCAGUGAAGCACUUACAGAGAGAAGAGUAAUACAGGGCAAAUAAAUAAUUAACGAAGAAGAAACUCUUUUGGGCCAUUGAAGGGAUGAAGACUCUGCCAGGCGCCAUGGAGGAAGGUGCAGGCCCCCGCUCUGGGGAGGAUGCUGAUGGAGGCGGUUGCUCCUCUGCUCUCACUGCCUGGGGGCCGUAAACCUGCAGCCUUCCACCUACCCCACCAUGGACCUCAGUACCAGGUACCUGCCUUGGCUUCUACCUUGGGUUGGUUGGGAGCCUACGGAGAGGGGUUUGAAGGAGUAAAAUCUCCCCCCUUGGCCCUGCCCGCAUCCUCACCCUGGUCCCACAGGGAAGGGGAUUAAAUGGUGGCAUCUCCCCCCUUCUCCCAUCACCAAAUGAUGGAAACUGCAGCCAGGAGGGCAGGGAGUGGGGAAUGAGUUCUCUUAUACAAAUUCCAUCAGGGUAAAUCAGCUCCCAGGUCCGCUUUAGCCAGCUUUGCCAGCAGAGGGGACUUUUGCACGUGGAUUAAACCUUCAUCCCUGCUCUCCCUCCUCUUCCCACAGAGCACGGACCCAGCCACUGCACACACCCUGGGGUAACCAACAGGUCCCUUUUAUCCACACCAGGACACAGCAAACCCCUCAGCUCCAUGGGGUACCCUCAGGGCAACCCAUCACACGGAGCCCCCCCCCCCCACCUCCUCCUCCUUGCACCCUUGGGUGCUCCCACAGCCCUGCUCUCUUCCCCUUGCACAGCAUCCCUGCCUUGGGCACUUACUUUGCAGCGAGGCGAGAGGCUGGGCAGCAUCUCCUCGCAGCCCCAUGUUCAUUGGCAUUCAUUUGUCCCAGCAGCUUACACCAAUUUCUAGUUCUUGAAAGAAUAAUAAUUAAAAAGGAAAUAAAAAGGGGG